rnacentral:rRNA from 1 species
CAGUCGCCGCGGUAAUACGAAGGGUGCAAGCGUUAAUCGGAAUUACUGGGCGUAAAGCGUGCGUAGGCGGUGAGUUAAGUCUGCUGUGAAAUCCCCGGGCUCAACCUGGGAAUGGCAGUGGAUACUGGCUCGCUAGAGUGUGUCAGAGGAUGGUGGAAUUCCCGGUGUAGCGGUGAAAUGCGUAGAGAUCGGGAGGAACAUCAGCGGCGAAGGCGGCCAUCUGGGACAACGCUGACGCUGAGGCACGAAAGCGUGGGGAGCAAACAGGAUUAGAUACCCCCGUAGUCCCUGUCUCUUAUAC